CUGCUCGCCAGAACACUACGAGCCACAGCUUAAAACUCAAAGGACCUGGCGGUGCUUCAUAUCCCUCUAGAGGAGCCUGUUCUGUAAUCGAUAAACCCCGAUCAACCUCACCACCCCUUGCUCAGCCUAUAUACCGCCAUCUUCAGCAAACCCUGAUGAAGGCCACGAAGUAAGCGCAAGCAUCCACAUAAAGACGUUAGGUCAAGGUGUAGCCCAUGGAGUGGCAAGAAAUGGGCUACAUUUUCUACUUCAGAAAACUACGAUAGCCCUCAUGAAACCUGAGGGUCGAAGGUGGAUUUAGC
rnacentral:rRNA from 1 species